rnacentral:rRNA from 1 species
CCUACGGGAGGCAGCAGUGGGGAAUUUUGGACAAUGGGCGCAAGCCUGAUCCAGCAAUGCCGCGUGUGUGAUGAAGGCCUUCGGGUUGUAAAGCACUUUUAGUGGGAACGAAACGGUCCGGGCUAAUACCCUGGACUACUGACGGUACCCGCAGAAUAAGCACCGGCUAACUACGUGCCAGCAGCCGCGGUAAUACGUAGGGUGCAAGCGUUAAUCGGAAUUACUGGGCGUAAAGCGUGCGCAGGCGGUUUUGUAAGACCGAUGUGAAAUCCCCGGGCUUAACCUGGGAACUGCAUUGGUGACUGCAAGGCUUGAGUGUGUCAGAGGGAGGUGGAAUUCCGCGUGUAGCAGUGAAAUGCGUAGAUAUGCGGAGGAACACCGAUGGCGAAGGCAGCCUCCUGGGAUAACACUGACGCUCAUGCACGAAAGCGUGGGGAGCAAACAGGAUUAGAUACCCUGGUAGUCCACGCCCUAAACGAUGUCUACUAGUUGUCGGGUAUUAACUUUCCGUUAGGUAACCGCGAGACGUAACGUACGGGUAACGGUAGACCGCCGUCGGGUAGGUACGGUCGCGAGAAGUUAAACGUAACGAAGGUAAGUUAGUACGGCGUGAGACGUGCCGACGGACGACGACGAGGGAGGUUAGG